rnacentral:rRNA from 1 species
GAUGAACGCUGGCGGCGUGCUUAACACAUGCAAGUCGAACGGAAAGGCUCCUGCUUGCAGGGGUACUCGAGUGGCGAACGGGUGAGUAACACGUGGGUGAUCUGCCCUGCACUUCGGGAUAAGCCUGGGAAACUGGGUCUAAUACCGGAUAGGACCACAUUUUGGAUGGUGUGGUGGAAAGUUUUUCGGUGUGGGAUGAGCUCGCGGCCUAUCAGCUUGUUGGUGGGGUAAUGGCCUACCAAGGCGUCGACGGGUAGCCGGCCUGAGAGGGUGUACGGCCACAUUGGGACGGAGAUACGGCCCAGACUCCUACGGGGGGCAGCAGUGGGGAAUAUUGCACAAUGGGGGCAAGCCUGAUGCAGCGACGCCGCGUGGGGGAUGACGGCCUUCGGGUUGUAAACUCCUUUCGCUAGGGACGAAGCGUUUUUGUGACGGUACCUGGAGAAGAAGCACCGGCUAACUACGUG